UACAGAGGGUGCGAGCGUUAAUCGGAUUACUGGGCGUAAAGCGUGCGUAGGUGGUUUGUUAAGUCUGUUGUGAAAGCCCCGGGCUCAACCUGGGAAUGGCAAUGGAUACUGGCAAGCUAGAGUGCGGUAGAGGGUAGUGGAAUUCCCGGUGUAGCGGUGAAAUGCGUAGAUAUCAGGAGGAACACCGAUGGCGAAGGCAGGUCUCUGGGCUGACACUGACGCUCAUGCACGAAAGCGUGGGGAGCAAACAGG
rnacentral:rRNA from 1 species